rnacentral:rRNA from 1 species
CUCCGCCGGCGACCGGCGCACGGGUGAGUAACACGUAUGCAACCUGCCCCUGUCAGGGGGACAACCCGCCGAAAGGCGGGCUAAACCCGCGUACAUGCCACCGGGGCAUCCCGGAGGCAGGAAAGGCUUCGGCCGGACAGGGAUGGGCAUGCAGCGCAUUAGGCAGUAGGCGGGGUAACGGCCCACCUAACCGACGAUGCGUAGGGGUUCUGAGAGGAAGGUCCCCCACACUGGUACUGAGACACGGACCAGACUCCUACGGGAGGCAGCAG